GCCGGGGUGGCGAAACAGGUAGACGCGAAGGACUUAAAAUCCUUUGGAUUUGGAAAAAUCCGUGCGGGUUCGAAUCCCGCCCUCGGUA
rnacentral:tRNA from 1 species